UACGGAGGGUGCAAGCGUUGUUCGGAAUCAUUGGGCGUAAAGGGCGCGUAGGCGGCCUUGCAAGUCGGAUGUGAAAGCCCAGGGCUCAACCUUGGAAGUGCAUCCGAAACUGCGAGGCUCGAAUCUCGGAGAGGGUGGUGGAAUUCCCAGUGUAGAGGUGAAAUUCGUAGAUAUUGGGAGGAACACCGGUGGCGAAGGCGACCACCUGGACGAAGAUUGACGCUGAGGCGCGAAAGCGUGGGGAGCAAACAGG
rnacentral:rRNA from 1 species